GCUAUACAUGCAGUCGAGCGGACGCACUUGGGAGCUUGCUCCCUUGGUUCAGCGGCGGACGGGUGAGUAACACGUGGGCAACCUGCCCGGCAGACUGGGAUAACUUCGGGAAACCGGAGCUAAUACCGGAUAAUUUGUUCCCUCUCAUGGGGAAAGCUGAAAGAUGGUUUCGGCUGUCCUUACAGGAGGGGCCGCGGCGCAUUAGCUAGUUGGUGAGGUAACGGCUCACCAAGGCCACGAUGCGUAGCCGACCUGAGAGGGUGAUCGGCCACACUGGGACUGAGACACGGCCCAGACUCCUACGGGAGGCAGCAGUAGGGAAUCUUCCGCAAUGGACGAAAGUCUGACGGAGCAACGCCGCGUGAGUGAAGAAGGUUUUCGGAUCGUAAAACUCUGUUGUUAGGGAAGAACAAGUACCGGAUUACCUGCGGGACCCUUGCCGGACCCCAACCAAAAAGCCCCGGUAAAUUACUGGCCACCACCCCCGUAAUUACUAAGUGGGCAGCCUUUGCCCGGAUUUAUGGGCGUAAAACGCGCGGCAGGCGGUUCCUUAAUCCGAAUGUGAAACCCAACGGUUCACCCUGGAAGGGUCAUUGAAACUGGGGGAACUUGAUUGCAAAAAAGAAGUGGAAAUUCCCUUGUACGGUGAAAUGGCUAAAAUGGUGAAGAAACACCAUUGCCAAAGGCAACUCUUUGUCCUGUACUUGACGCUAAGGCGAAAGCCUGGGGGAAGCAACAGGAAUUAUAUACUGGUUAUUCCACGCCGUACCAUGAAUGGCUAGUGGUAAGAGGGUUCCGCCCCUUUAAUGCCUGCACCAAACGCAUAAACCAUUUCCGCUGGGGAAUUACGGCGCCAAGGCUGAAACUCAAAGGAAUUGACCGGGGGCCCCACAAAGCCGGUGGAACAUGGUGUUUAUUCGAGCCACCGCCAAAGACCCUUACCAGGUCUUGACUUCUCCUGACAGCCCUA
rnacentral:rRNA from 1 species